rnacentral:rRNA from 1 species
CCUACGGGAGGCAGCAGUGGGGAAUAUUGCACAAUGGGGGAAACCCUGAUGCAGCGACGCCGCGUGAGUGAAGAAGUAAUUCGUUAUGUAAAGCUCUAUCAGCAGGGAAGAAAAUGACGGUACCUGAGUAAGAAGCCCCGGCUAACUACGUGCCAGCAGCCGCGGUAAUACGUAGGGGGCAAGCGUUAUCCGGAUUUACUGGGUGUAAAGGGAGCGUAGACGGCAGUGCAAGUCUGGAGUGAAAGGCGGGGGCUCAACCCCCGGACUGCUCUGGAAACUGUACGGCUGGAGUGCAGGAGAGGUAAGUGGAAUGCCGAGUGUAGCGGUGAAAUGCGGAGAUAUUAGGAGGAACAACAGUGGCGAAGGCGGCUUACUGGACUGUAACUGACGUUGAGGCUCGAAAGCGUGGGGAGCAAACAGGAUUAGAUACCCGAGUAGUC